UGCCAGCAGCCGCGGUAAUACGGAGGGUGCAAGCGUUGUUCGGAAUUACUGGGCGUAAAGCGCGCGUAGGUUGAUUGGUCAGUCAGAUGUGAAAGCCCCGGGCUCAACCUGGGAACUGCAUUUGAAACUGGGAGGCUUGAGUAUUGGAGGGGGUGGUGGAAUUCCCGGUGUAGAGGUGAAAUUCGUAGAUAUCGGGAGGAAUACCGGUGGCGAAGGCGACCACCUGGCCAAAUACUGACGCUGAGGUGCGAAAGCGUGGGGAGCAAACAGGAUUAGAUA
rnacentral:rRNA from 1 species